UGGUCCAGGGCUGCGGGCGCAGUGCGCAUGUGCGCGUAGAGUCAGGGCUGGGGAGAGGGGAAACUGCGCUGGUGCCGGUGCCGCCGCCGCCGCCGCCGCCGCCGCCGAGGAGGCUCGCAGUGCCUUCCCUCUGACUGCCGCUGCGCCUUCGCCGCUGGAAAGCCGCGAUUGAGCGGCUCGGCCGACGCGUCCGCCCGCACACAACCGCUUCAGGUGCAUCUCUCCGCGAUCCUUGUCGCCGCUCCGAGCUGCUUCAGAGAACCGCCCGAACAAAUGGGAAAGACCGAGAAGGAGAGUUUGCUGUGAAAGGAAAAAAGCAGUAACGCAAGCCCUGCACUUCUCAGACUGAGAAAGCCAUGGGGAAGUAAAGGAAGGGUCCGCCCCCCAGCCUACCCGUGAAAUUGCCGCCGAGAAACAGACGUCUACUGCUUCCACCACUGUAGAGGCCAGCUCUCCAACCCCAAAUCGAGGCAGGUGACUUGACAUGUGCUUCGGAACACAGGUGCUAACUCACACUGAAGAGUUUAAAUGAGAUGAUAAAAUAAACUUCUUAGAGGUGCGCCAGUUAGUGAGAGCUCAGAUAAGCUCAGGCUACCACUACCUGAGGUCUGAUUUCACUCAUUAUGGUUAACCUGCUUCAAGGUUGUGCCAGGACAACUUCAUUAGCAGACAGGAAUUUCAGCUUCCGGCCUUUUCUUCCCAACUCUUGAAUAACAAAAUGUGAAAUAUCCAAAGGCAGGCUACAGGAGAAAAAGAGAGGUCAGGAGUUUUGUUUUAACCUAAGACCCUGCCCUAAGAAAAUCAAAAUUAAUAUCAAAUUCUUCUUUCUAAAAAUCCAUCUCACGGUCAUUUACUAGAUAAAUUUAGGUGAUAUUAUUGUGUGUUUGUGUUUUCAUAGACAUUAAUUCAAUAGUUCCUUUUUAAAACUGAUGGUUUGGGGUUUGUUUUCCUUUGGUUUUUGGUAUAGGAUCUUAUACUGCAACCUAGGUUGGCCUGAGAUUCACAAGGGUCCUUCCACCUCAGCUUCCUAAGUGCUGGGAGAGUAAAGAUUUGCUAUCCUGCCCACCCACUACUCCUGCAAGGCACUUGAAACAAGACAUGACCAAAAGUAACAUCACGAACAACUAUGUUAAGUAGUAGAUACUGUGGUAGCAAGAAUAAUUGAGGAGUUCAGGUAGCAGCAAGGAUGCACAUCUAGGAUGUACACUGACCCACUAUCCCAGGAGACUCUACAAAGGACAAACCAGAGAAGGUCUAUUAAAGCCUAGGGUUUAAAGAGCAUGCCUUGCAUAGAAAGUGUCCUGGACAAGGGUCACUAUCAGAAUUAACCAUUGCUUGAGGUUUGAUACAAUACAGACAUUAUAUCUCUGCCUCAGAACUUACUAUGAAAACUUCAUCUCAAGGUGUUGCUAAAGUGUGGCCCAAGACGGAGAUACUAAAGAUCUUGAAGUCCUGUGAGAAUUAGGACUUUAACAUCUGCUUCCUUCACCAAAAAGUAAAAUAAAAUAAAAAUAAUUUAAUUUUUCCCUUAAAUGCCACCAUCACAGACAGAAAUGCUGUUAGACUCUAGAUAUCAAUCUUAAAAAUUGUGACUGUCAUCAGUACAUUGGACCCCAUGUUCCUCAGAGAAAUAAUGUGCUAAUAGAAACUUCUUUAUCUACCUUCAGCCUUCCACCUACCAUUAGCUGGCGGAUGCUUUAUUUUACGAUUCUGGCCAACAUCACUUAAGUCUCUCCCUGCCUCAUCCUACAACAUGUAAAUACCCAACACAUCUUUAGGUAGACCUACUGCUCCCUGACACCCCAAACACAGGGAUUAUCUCACUUACUUAUUGUUCUUUGUGUUUUUAUAUUAAAUGUACCUACCCUUCAGCUAUAUACUCCUAGAUAUCUUGAAGUCAAAGUAAUGUUUACAUAGAAGGCAUUUUAAACAAACUGCAGUGCUUGCUCUUUAAAGACAUUUUGAGGCUUAUCAAGAGCUUGCGUCUGCCUGAAGGUCCUUCAAUGCGUCUGAGUUUGUACACUGUGAUUGCCUCUCUCCAGGAACUUCCAAGUUAGAACCAUUCACUCUCUGUCCUUAACACAAGGCAUGCCCUGCCUUUUAGGACACAGGCCUUUGGUAGAUGACCUCCUCCAUGAGCCUGUCCCCUUCUCCCCAAGUUUAAAGAUGCUCAAGAGUGAAGUCCAAUAGGUGUGUGUUCUCUCGUGAUUGGGCCACAGACACCAGAAAACCCUGAGCAGGCCCAUUCACACUUUGGGCUUCCAUUCUCUCCUCAGUUUGACAAUGAAAACAAACUAUUUCUGAGCCUCUUUAAAGGCAAUGUCCCUCAGCCUCUCUCUAUGUAACAGGAACAUCUCAUACAAAGGAGAUCGAACCCAGGACAUGACUUAGGUCAGGAGUGAGGAACCACCCAGCUUUCAGGUACCAGAAUAGUGACAAUGGAGAGCUCAUUCCCUGGCCUUAAGCCUUCGCUAAUGAGAUAAAGUCAGGAAUUCCAUUUCCCCAUGGCUGAUUAGACUGGAUCGGAUCGGUUUUAUAACCACAAACUGAUUUUCUUAAUCCAAGACCUCAUGUUGUUAUAUGUGUAAUUGGUCACCAGUCGAGGUAAAGUGAAUAUUUCUAGAAAAAUUGUUUAAGUGAACAAAAUUUUUAAAAAGUCUUACUUUUAAGUAUGUAUUGAGUGAUUCUGUGAUUUUGUUUUGUUUCUUGUGUGUGUUGGUUUUUGUUGUUGUUUUUGAUUGUUUUUGUUUUACCUACGUAAUUGUGUACUCCAUGUUAUCCCAAGGAUGUAAGUGUUGGUUUUGCCUCAAUUCUUUCUACUGAUGUUUAUAAGAGCUCGGUUUGAUGUUCCUCUCAGUAUUCUAAACUAGGACUUCUUGAACUUUUCCCACUUGCAAACCAUUUUUGCUCCAAAAAAUUUCUUUUAGAAGGCCUUGUGUCUAUGAGUAUAUAAAACAUAUAUAAGUAAAGCAUUUAUUUAUAGUAAAUCAUAAAGAACUUUGUUUCGAACAAUUCUUUGGUGUUAUAGCUAUACCAUUUAUAAAGAUGAAAGCAGGUUUGUAUACUGAGAUAAAUGUCCUUCUUUACUGUACCACCAAGAAUUAAAUCUCAUUUGAAUAUUUAAUAUUGCAGACUAUAGAGCAAUAUCAUGAUUUUCUAGAGUUUAUUGAUGUUUAGAUUUUAUACUCAUCAAUAUUGAGAAUGCCACUUCACAUAUAUACAUACUACAAAAUGGUGAACAUAUGAUUAGGGCCAUUUCAGACAUUUUUGAACAUGUCCUAAUUUCAAGCCAAAAUUUAUUUGGUGAUAUCUUUUUAUUUAUUGAUUCUUUAUUUAUUUUAUUUAUUUAUUUAUUUUUAUUUAUUUAUUUAUUUAUUUAUCUUUUAUGAUUAGGGCCAUUUCAGACAUUUUUGAACAUGUCCUAAUUUCAAGCCAAAAUUUAUUUGGUGAUAUCUUUUUAUUUAUUUAUUUGGUGAUAUCUUUUAUUUAUUGGCAUUCAAGUCAAAAUGCAAACAGUAACUUUUAAAAUUAUUCUAACAAGAUACAAUCAGCAGGUACAUGCUAAUGAAUGGUAGCAAAAUAUUGGAGGUCCUUAUUUGCUGUAAUUAUACAACUAUGCUUAUUUAAGAGGAAAAUGUUUUGUAAGUACAAUCCAAACACUGUAGGCCACAGUGUACAACAGUCUCAAGUAUAAGCCUCAGUGUUUUGAGUGACAUUUGCUGGCAUUUCGCAGUGCAGUCACAUGCUCAGUACAAUGUGCACAUGCUGUAUGCCCAGAAG